UUCCUGUUUUACAGAUUAGCAUUCAGAAUAUUAGGUAAUUUUCUCAAGGUAACUCCACUGUUGGUAGAAGACACUUCUAGGGAGUUUAAUAGGUUGGUUUUUCCAACAAAUGUCCUUCUGGAAAUAUAACUUACAGGCAAGCAUGCUUAUGGAGACUUUUGUCCGUGACUUUAAUACAAAUUUUAGAACAUAAAUCUGCUGGGAUUACAACAUACCUGUUGUAGAAUGAUAUAUGAAACAUUACCUGUUUAUUUCUUCAAUGUAUAAUCUCAAAUACUUGAAAGAUGAUCCCCAUUUAGUAUUGCCUCAAGGAAGUAGGGUUAUCAAGGCAAAAGGAGAAAAAAAUAAUCACUCUCUUGGUUUUAAAGUAUUAAAGGAGGAGUCUAAUUUUAAGACAAAGAUUUGGGAGGAAAAAAUUGCUAAGUAUUUUACCCCCUGCCCCCCAAGAAAAACGGGUGAAAGCCACUGAAAAAGGGCAAAGGGAGAAAUUUGGAAAUUGAGAGUAGAUGUUGGCUUACAGAGUAGUAUACAAUGCUCCCUUGUUUAGACCUGGAUUGUGAGUGGGAUAGGGUGUGAUGGAGAUGGAGACCCUUACAUUUGAAGAUCCAAGAGUAGAAGGCUGUGUGUCAGAAGCUCUACAAGAGAAAACCCAUCCAUGUUCCCUACCCCACAAUGGCGUGGAUAAAGAAGAAUAGAGACAAAGGAAAUUGACAUCAGAAUUAGACAAGUCCUGAUGAUCAUGUGCCUAUAUCCCCAAGAGAAGCAUAGGGGAUCGGCUUAACUUGAUCCAUGCCUUUGAACAGGUGAGAACAUUAAGAGAGAAAGCUGGCAGGCAUGAGGAGCAUUCUAGAUUGUGACUAAUGUGGUAUUGGCCAUCCAAGCCAAGACCUUAAUAAGGCCUCGAACAUAUGAACAAAUGCAGAGAUAGAUACCAAUAAGUGAAGGUCAUGACUGGUCGAUUGUGCAGUCAGAGAGGAAGGAAAGGAGAGAAGUGGAUACUGUCUCCUCCCAUUGACAUUGCAGCAACAGAAUUCCCAAACCCUGCAAAUUGACUCCAAAGCCAGGGAGGUAGGUGAAUAGGGUUUCAAAAACCCUGAAUGUGAUUGAGUUUUAAAUCUGACAUGACUGAGCAAUCAGACUUUGACAUAGUUUACACCCCAAAAGACUGAGAAUUCAUUAAUGUGAUGUGACUGUAUCUAUCUGGGUAAGUGCAGACUAAUUUUUCUGCUAUUGAGAAGGCAAAAAAAUGAGAAUUCAGAAUAGAAAUUAAGCUCUGCUAUGGGAAAAUAAAGUUAUAAAUUUUCCAUGCUAGAUUUUGACAUCUGUCAAGCCCACAGCAGACUUUAAGAGACAUGUGGAAGCUGAAACACCAGAUACUGUCUGAUUCCAAAUCUGUCCACUUCCACCACAUUCCCAGUGGCCACUAUCUUGGCUCCGUCAUCAUCAUCCCUUUCUCUGUUACAUACUCUUCAUCACAGGGAUCUGGACUUCUUCCUCCCCCCAGGAUCUGGACUGUGUUCUGCAUUCCUUGGGUUUUUUGAAAUUUGUUCAC
rnacentral:lncRNA from 1 species